UAGAACCCCACCUACCACACAUCACAUGAA
rnacentral:piRNA from 1 species